GAUUUGUACAUUUUUAUUUAGGAAACAAGUCAGAGUAUUGGGCAAGUUUUUCUCCUUCAGCUUCUUAUGGGGUUUCUUCCAAUGGUUCUUCUCGGCUGGUGAUGGCUGUGGAUUUUCGAAUUUCCCAACAUUUGGAUUAAAAGCAUAUGAAUACAAGUAAGCAUAAAAUGUUCUUUUUCUUAUUUAGCGAAGUAAAACGUCUUUGCUUCUUUUUGCUUGACUCACCACACAAUCGUUGGACCAAGCAUAUUCCUAUUGAAGAUUGGUCCGGGAUUUUUAACUGCCUUACAAGUAAGACUCGAUUUUUCUAAUCCCACAAUAGACUUGAACAGAGGCCAGAUAUAGUGAAAUUCUGCCCGCUAGCGUUAAGGUUAACAAUCAUGAGCUGAAUUCAUUUUUUCUGUGGCUUAAACUUUUGUUUUGGAACUACAGGUUUUUCUUUGAUUUCUCAGCAACUUAUGUUGGGGUAGGGAUGAUCUGUCCUCACAUCAUAAAUGUUUCCAUUCUUGUUGGAGGGAUUCUGUCGUGGGGUAUCUUGUGGCCUCUAAUUGAAACUAGAAAGGGGGAUUGGUACUCUGCUGAUCUCGACUCACAUAGUUUGCAAGGGCUUCAAGGUUACAAGGUGAAUUCCUAUUACACCAUAGUUUCACCCAAAACUGCUAUAUUUAAAUUUGCUUUUUCAAUAAUAUAUCGUUCACUAAAACAAAAUGUGAACUAAAACCAUAACAGGUAUUCAUUGGCAUUGCCAUGAUACUCGGUGAUGGCCUAUACAACUUUUUCAAGGUUGUCAGCCGAACUCUAACCGGCUUGAUUAAAAAAAUUCAACAAAGAAAUGCAAAUAUGCAAAUCCCAGUGGUAGAACAUUCCUCUCCUGCCAAGAAAUCACUAUCUUAUGAUGACCAACGCCGCACCCAACUAUUUCUUGAAGAUCAAAUCCCAACGUGGUUUGCAAUUGGAGGCUAUUUCACCCUUGCUGCAGUCUCUACAGCAAUCCUUCCUCACAUCUUCCACCAACUCAAGUGGUACUAUGUAAUUGUUAUCUAUGUCUUUGCACCAAGCUUGGCCUUCUGUAACGCAUUUGGGUGUGGACUCACUGAUUGGUCACUCGCAUCUACCUACGGGAAGCUUGCCAUCUUUACAAUUGGGGCAUGGGCAGGGGCCUCACAUGGUGGAAUCCUUGCUGGUUUAGCAGCAUGUGGAGUGAUGUUGAAUAUAGUUUCCACUGCCUCUGAUAUCAUGCAGGAUUUUAAGACAGGUUACUUAACCUUGGCUUCACCCCGUUCAAUGUUUGUGAGCCAAGUGAUUGGCACUGCUAUGGGAUGUGUGAUUUCUCCUUGUGUCUUUUGGGUUUUCUACAAAGCUUUUCCUGAUCUUGGGCUUCCUACAAGUGAAUAUCCCGCUCCCUUUGCUACUGUCUACUAUAGCAUGGCUAAACUUGGGGUUGAAGGCUUCUCAGCUCUACCAAAGGAAUGCCUCAAGCUAUGUUACGGAUUCUUUGCUGCAUCCAUUUUCAUCAACUUAAUAAGAGAUGCUCUGGGAAAGAAACGUUCGUGGUUUAUACCACUUCCAAUGGCAAUGGCGAUACCAUUUUAUUUGGGUUCCUAUUUUGCCAUUGAUAUGUGUGCUGGUAGCCUCAUACUUUUUGUGUGGCAGAAGAUAAACAGAGCCAAGGCAGAUGCCUUUGGUCCUGCAGUAGCUUCUGGUUUGAUUUGUGGAGAUGGCAUCUGGACUUUGCCUAGCUCUAUACUAGCUCUAGUCGGGGUGAAACCUCCAAUCUGCAUGAAAUUCCUGUCGAGGGCUACAAACACUAAGGUAGAUAAGUACUUGGGAUCCUAGAUAUGCUGGGGGUAAAAAUUAAUUUGUAUCCGAACAAGUAUUGCCUUCAUAAACCAAAAAGGAUUAUCCUGUAUGGAUAAAUAAGAGAUUAAAUUUAUGCACUCCAUUCCUAUGUUUCAAGUCUUCUACAAUAUACCCUAUAAAAAGGAUUUCAAGUUAUCUGAUGUAGAUUUUAAAAAUACACCACAAC
rnacentral:lncRNA from 1 species